rnacentral:rRNA from 1 species
AGAGUUUGAUCAUGGCUCAGAUUGAACGCUGGCGGCAGGCCUAACACAUGCAAGUCGAACGGUAACAGGAAGCAGCUUGCUGUUUCGCUGACGAGUGGCGGACGGGGGAGGAAUGUCUGGGAAACUGCCUGAUGGAGGGGGAUAACUACUGGAAACGGUAGCUAAUACCGCAUAACGUCGCAAGACCAAAGAGGGGGACCUUCGGGCCUCUUGCCAUCGGA